GCGGCCCUAAGGCCACGCCCUCAACGUCAAGGGGCGGAGCUCCUCGUGGGUUUCUUUCCAGAGCCGGACUUGUGUACCUCCUACCCAGAAGUCCAACCACGCCCCCAGAAAGUUGACUCGGAAGCUUUCAGCAAAGGACAACUGGUUCAACUGAAAUGUGUCCAUUACCUCCUUCAAUGAGCAGCUCUGUCAAGGAGAGCAUCAUGCUCUGAUUGUCCUGGAAACAGCAACAUCACUGGAAUUGGGGACCAGAUCUGGAACCUGAUCAAAUCAGGAGUGAUGAAACAAGAAGGAAAAAGAGGAAAAGAAGUGAAAGUAUCUAAAGGUCACCAGUAGAAAACUCUUAAGAAUCCCUGUUCUCGAGGACCCAGAAAGAGGCUGGAGGAAAGCCUACAACGGUCAACUUUCUCCUCCAUCAUACAUGCAUCUUGGGCCAUCAGGCUUUGGUUGUCAAGUGCUUUCACCAGAUGAGCCAUCUCACUGGCUGUCAAAAACUUUAAGGAUGUUGAGGAUGUGCUCCAUAAAUUCUCAUUACACACGAGAGGCCUCCAGAAAGUUUAAUAAGCACAUGGCUUUCCAGGCUUUCAAUAGAAAGCCUGAAAAGAGAAAAGAUCUUUUACAAAGAGCCUCAUUAGUUAAGGUGUGACCUUGUUAGACAAGGUGUGGAAACAUCGGGAAGAUUCACAGAAAAUGCACAGAAUUUUGAGGAACUAUGUUAGCACAAAAAUAUUGCCACAGGAUGGUUUCAUAUAUGCACGGUCCCCAGACAUUGAUCCUAGGGGCAAGAGGAUUAGCAAUUUCUAGGUCAUCCUUGGCUGCAUAAUGAGUUUGAGGCCAGCUUGGACUAGGUGAGAUAAUGUCUUAACAAACAAAGGAGAAUUCAGUGAGACAGCUCAGUGGGCAAACCUGCUUCUGAGCAAGCCUGAUAACGUGGGACCCACGUAAUUCAAGGAAAGAACCAACUCCCAAAAGUUGUCCUCUGACCUCCAAACAUGUGCCAUGCCCAACACAUGCCUAAGCCCACAACAAUUGUAAUAAAAAUGAAAACAAAUGAUGAACAACCAAUCAACCACAUAAAAAACAAAUUAAAAUAAUAUUACCAACAAAAUCAGGAACAGACAAAAGAUUGAUAUAAAAUCCAUCUUGACCCAGGUUUUCCCCUUUUAAUAUAAGAAUAUUUAUUUAUAAUACCUUAUGUCUACUUUGCCACGGUUUUGCGAGUAUAUGGGAGUAAGGCAGACAGCUUUUGGGGGGGGUAUUACAAGCUCACAGACAUGGAUGAACAGUAUUUCUGCAAUUGUUCCUAAGAAACUACAAUCACAGAAUCAAGACUGUUCAUCUAUAUUUAGAUUCAAAGUUUGAAGGCAUUGGCUUUGAUCUGAUGCUGUAACUGAUGAAUUUUAGUGCAUGAGAUGUGCUGGGUAUAUGCUUUAUCUGUAAGAACUGAGAACUAUUGAAGGUCAACAGCUUGUUUUUAAUAACAGAAUCUGCUACCCUACUUUUUAAAAAAUCUUAACAGUGAUCAGCUGAAAAGACUCCAGAAGGAUCAGUCAAACAUAUGGUCCCAUAGUUGGGCUGACUAUGUGUAUGUGUGUCCUAUGCUAUCACUCAGAAGGUUCCCAUGCAGUUUACUGAGCUGUGAUGCUCUUGGCAUGCUUUUAGAGAAUUACCUUGAUUAAAUUAAUGGAGAUAGGUAGAACCACCCACUGUGGGUGGCACCACCCUGGGCCAUCUGAAAAGGAGAAAUUGAGCUUAGCAAAAGCAUUCAUCACUCUGAUUCUUGACCAGGGGUGGGGGUGUAUACAGUAAUCAGUUGCUCUAACCUCCUGAUGCUGUAAUUUCCCCACCAUUAUGGACUUUACCCUUGAACUGAGUCAAAAUUUUCCCAUUCUCCUAAUGUUGGUUUUGUCAUGGUAACUUAUUACAAGACAUGAAAAGUAACUAAGAUACUAGUACAUUAGUAUAUCAUUGUACAACUGGAAGGUCAUAUAUUCAAGAGAUUCUCUCAUUUUGUGGCAGAGGAAAAUGGAUUUUAACAAUAGCUACAUACAUUGAACACAUUCAUGUUGUGUUAAUAUGGUUGAUGGUCUCUUGAAGAUUAAA